GUUUAAUCCCCGCCCCCUUUCAAACUACAUCUAAGAAAGCCAAAAUAUGUCACGUCCAACCAAGAUCACCUCGGUUACAGUGAAAGACAUCAGAUUUCCAACGUCUCUGCAGAAGGAUGGAUCGGAUGCAAUGCACAAAGCCCCAGAUUAUUCAUGUCCAUAUGUCACCAUAAAAACAGACACCGCUCUUGAGGGAAAUGGCACCACUUUUACAGUUGGACGGGGAAACCACAUUGUUUGUUGUGCCGUGGAAGUGUUUGAGAAGAUGUUGGUUGGCAAGCAGCUGUCAGACAUUUUUGAUGAUUUUGGAAAUUUCUGGCAGUCUCUAGUUAGUGAGGAUCAAAUUAGAUGGCUUGGUCCAGAGAAAGGUGUGAUUCACUUAGCAACUGCAGCCAUUGUUAAUGCAUUGUGGGAUCUAUGGGCUAAGAUGGAAAACAAGCCACUAUGGAAAUUACUUGUAGACAUGGAACCAGAAAAGCUUGUAUCCACCAUUGAUUUUAGAUACAUGGCUGAUACAUUGACUAAAGAAGAAGCUAUAGACAUAUUAAAGAAAAAGCAAGAUGGGAAGAAAGCAAGAGAGGAAGAACUUUUGGCUAAUGGUUUUCCUGCAUACACAACUUCCUGUGGCUGGCUCGGAUACUCAGAUGAAAAAAUUAAAAAGGUUCAAAAUGAAAGUAGGAGCAGAUGUACAAGAUGAUAUCAGGCGGGCCAAAAUCUUCAGAGAGACCUUGGCAGAAGAUAUGCUGCUGAUGGUGGAUGCUAAUCAGAAAUGGGAGGUGCAGGAAGCCAUUGAUUGGAUGAAACAAAUGAAGGAUUACAAGAUUCUGUGGAUCGAGGAACCCACAAACCCUGAUGAUGUCAUGGGUCACGCUGCAAUAGCAGAGGCACUUGUGCCACUGGGUAUUGGAGUUGCCACUGGAGAAAUGUGUCAGAACCGAGUGAUGUUUAAACAGUUCCUGAAGGCCAAUGCCAUGCAGUACUGUCAGAUUGAUGCCUGUCGACUGGGCGGGGUCAAUGAAGUGCUGGCUGUCAUUCUUUUGGCUGCCAAAUUCAAUGUUCCUGUCUGUCCCCAUGCAGGGGGUGUGGCAUUAUGCGAAUUAGUUCAACAUCUUUCUAUGUUUGACUUUGUUUGUGUGUCUGGAACAAUGGAAAAUAGAAUGAUAGAGUUUGCAGAUCAUCUUCAUGAACACAUGUCGUCCCCAGUUGUCAUCAAAGGUGGACGGUACAUGGCACCACAGGCUGCAGGCUAUCUGGUAGGCAUUAAGGAGCAGGCCUUAGCCGACUUUGUUUAUCCUGAAGGAGCAGAGUGGCAGAGGAUGUUUAAGGAAGGGCUGUUUCAACAAGAAUGAAUGGCAGACAUUGUGUCGGGAGUGUGUGUAAAUACAAGUACAUGUAGUACUGUACAUGUAAAUCCAAGAGACUUAAUUAUAUAAUUACUCUAGAGAGAUGGUAACCAAUUUAUAUUGGGGAACCAUUAAUACAUGCAAUGAUGAUCGUAUAUGGUGCUAAACAGGUUGUAAUAAUGUGAAAAUUGUAGUUUUUCAAUAAAAACAAUGUUGUAAUACUACCUAUGAUUUUUAUUCUAUGAUACAGAUAUAUAUUUGGAGAGGAAUAAUAAAAAUUUUGUUUAAAGUGGGACACCAAAGAUUUAUUUCCUUACAUACUAACAAUUGUGUAUAUCUAUCAUUUGUUUGCUUGAAAAAUGAUGAUGAUUUUAACUUUAGAUUUUGUUGAUGUUGAUUGUUUUUCAUAUUAACUUUAUGCUGUGAUAAUAUUCAUUUGAUGCAGUUUCUUUCAGAUCCGUAUUAAAUGAAAUGGAUUUAAAUUCUGUGAUAUAAUAGCAAUUAUGUAUGAAUGAAGUAUAAAUAAUAUUAAAUAUUGAAAACUUG
rnacentral:misc_RNA from 1 species